UGAAAAAACUGCCACCUCAAUCUACUGCUACACAAAGGUGCUACCGAGGGCAGGUGACAGGCAGCAGCAGUGUUGCACUGUGUUGCACAUGAUGUAGAUGUGUUCUUCCUGGGAUCCUGAGGCACCCAAGCUCCACAACUUGACCUGUGAACUUGGAGAGGAGGUUGCGGUGAACCUGGCCACAUAACCACGUGAAGCUAGGAGGAAGACAAGUGUACCCCCUGCAUUGCUGUAGCUGCAGUUCAGGGAUAUUCCCACCCCGUAUGUCUACGGCACUACAGUUAUAUUGCAAACGUUUAAUCUGGAACAGAAGGACUCGGUUCUUAGCUGAGCUCAGCCCUGAAUUGACCCAUCUGUUAGUGCUGCCUGCUGGUGGGAUAACCUCCGCAUGAGAAACCUGCCUCACCUGAACCAAUGCUCCUGCCAAAGGACCCCAGUGUUAGAUGGCUCUGUGGAGGCUGGUGGCUUUCAGAGUGGCAGCUGGGAGCUGACCCUGAGAAUCAAGGUCUGUGCUUUCCACCGUCUUAAUUUUGGCUUCUUUAGGAACACUGAGUUCAUGCACUACCUAACUACAAACUAUUACCUAACAUAAUUCUCAUAGGAUGGGCCAGUAUACACAGAGACAGCAAAAAGAAGUACAGCAUCCUAACCCCCCCACUACAGACACUGGCAAUAAAAAUUGAGAAGAAAACUUUAACUAAAGCAUGCCUGCACUUGUGCAGACUAGAGUGGAACAGCCUUCAGAAGCUUCUCAGCUUCUGGCUGCCCUAUGUGGCAGGACCAUGCUUAUCCACACUGAUCCAAGCAAUGGCUUUUCAACGUGGUUUUAGAAACUACUCCAGGGCAAGAAAGGCCACAGACUCAGUGGUGGUUCUUUUGCCUCUAACUAGUUGCCAGCUUCAGCCCUCUUUGUUGUCCUUUAGGCAAAUGCAUUUUGUCUCCAAAUACUCUUGGGUCAGGGUCCCUUUUAGAGGAGUAUGCCCUGAAGGGCUACUUUAUUUCCCUACCACUGUUACAAAGUUAUGCAGAGCACAGCAUUUAGGUGAAAUUUGCUGUUGCGUUGGUUUAUAAAAUUGUUUUGUAUUAGUUUUAAGAUCUAUUCCAAUUUGAUUUCCAGCAAAUGCAUUGCUGUUUGAGUCUGUUUUACUCACCAUUAUUCUUAUUUAAACCUGUAGAGGUUUGGAGAAAACAGAAAACUUUCAUAUUAUUUAAUAAAGUGAGAGCUAGCAAGCCUAAAGCAGUGCAUUGUAUUGACAGCCAGCUGCAUCCCAUGUGAAUCUGCAAACUGAUGCUGAGCAAGCAGAAGUUAAAUAGUACAUAGAUUUGUUUCUCACCACCCUCUCUGCUUGAUUGCUGGACAGGGGAUUACGCCGUUUGACAAGGAUCUUUAGGUUAGAAAAUACUGCAACAGCAGAGCACAAGACAGAAAUUACUCUGCAGAGGACUUUGAGGGUUUUUUGGUGUUUUGGUUUGGGUUUGGUUGUUUUGGGAUUGAAAAGAGGAGCCAAAAGGAAGUCUCCUGGCUAUAAAAAAACCCAGAUCUCAUUCUGUCCCUCUUCUCCUACACCCUUCACUUCUAUCUAACUGUAUAAAUCUGUUGUUGUGUUUCUACACAUCUUUGGUGGGAGAUGGGAAAAAACCCAACCCUGGAAGAAGCAGAAAAGUACAGUGCAACCAGUAAGACAAAAUGAACACUGAAUAGUCACUUGUUGAUGGCUGAUGGUUCAUUUGGAAACUGAACGAAAACCGGAUGUAGGCUUCUGUGGACAGCUGAGCUCCUGCAGCCUAUACCAACCCCAGGAUACACUUGGUCAUUUGUGAAAUUCAUCUAUGUAGCCAUGAGGCUCAGUGGCUUAAUUUAUUUGAUACAAGAUCAGAAUCUCCUUGAAAUUCCCUGACUAGAGGAUCUUGGAUCUUAAUUAAAAGCCCAGUUGUUGAGAUGCUACAUCCUCUACCUAAAAGAAUUAAAGGUGCACAGAAGUGCAGAGUUGCAGACAUAGCUCCACAAUGGAAAAAAGGAUAAAAAAAGGAAAGGUACAAGAGUUGCAUCCACACACACUGCCUGGCUGUUAAUGAAACACAAGAGAAAACAGUGUGCAGUAGAGCUGGCUCACUGCUAUCAGAUAUGGUGGGGAAGUAGGUCCCUGAAGGGAGUGACAUGGCAUCGUUCUGCUUUGGUGCAACCGCCCCAUCGGCAGCCCCAUCCUGUGCAUAGUAGGACUCUCUGGCGUUGUCCUUGAUGUACUGAGCUUCCACCGAGGAGAGGAAAUCCACUUCGCCUUCUUUGCUUAAAGUUUCAAGGUGUACUUCGGCAAUGACUGGUCUCCAGAUGGGAUGCAAAUGCCAAGCUGAUUAGAUUGCUUAUCUGAGAGGCACCCACCUCACCCCUAGGGCAUACGAAGGAUUCAAGUCCAAUUACCAGGGCCCUCCGAUUUGGUUGCAUUUCCCUCGCUGUCGCAUCCUGUGAAGUGUGAGUGAGGAACGCACUCAAGCAGAAGCUGGCUGCAGCUUCUGGAGUCACGUUGCAGCUCGGCUGCUGUGUCAUUAGCAGGACGGCGCUGCAGGUUCGCAGCGGGGCGAGAGGCGCAGCGCCUGCGGGGAGCCAGGCGGACUGGCAUGACUGCGCUUGGCUCUGGUGCCAUGGCUCUGGAGGGGAGUGCAGGGCUGCGGAACGUGCCGUGCUGGGCUCUUGCGCCGAGGUGUGGGCUGCGUUUGUCUGAACGUCUGAACCAGGAGGGGCCCCGGACCAGCACGCUCAGGAGACAGACGUCUUCAACGCUGCCCAGAGUGACACAGGCACAGGUAGCUUUCUAGAUUCCGGAUCUCUCUGUAUGCUAGAUGCUUUAUAGGGGUAAAGCCCCAAAAACCAUAUAUAUAUAUGGAUCAUAUAUACAUAUAUAUGAAAAGAGAAGAGGGUAUGAAAUGGUUCUGAUCUUAAUGCCAGUGUGACAGGACGGGAAGCACACAGAGGUGGUGGUGAGGCCUGCUGCUCAGCUCGUGGUGUGACUUUAAAAACUAUCCUGUCCCUACCCUGACAUCCGCUCGCAGCUGUCAGACACGGCCAAAAGUCACUAAUUAUCUACUGACCUGUGCUGGGCAAUUAUGCAGAAAAUGAUGCUGCCUAAUUAACCUGCCGUGCCAGAUCGCGCCCUGUCAAGGCCAAUCAGGGCUUCUCUGUGCUCAUGAGGGCCAUCACCCCCUGUCCCGAUCGGGAGCUGUGGUUUCAUUUCAGGUCACACAUGGUUACCCCAGUGCUCCAUACAGUCACCCUGGUCCCCACAUGGUCACGGCAGUGCCACAUGCAGGUCACCCAAGGUUGUCAUCAUGGGGCUUCACAGUGUCACACCAGGGAACUGCCACUGUCACCCUGAGGUCCCAUAUGGUCAGUCCCACGUCCCACACAGCCACUACAGAAUUCCACACUCUAACUAGCUGGACCCACA